AAACAUUUCUGGGGGGAAAAUAUUUUUGGUAUAACCUGCUCCAUGCAAGUUAAUAGCUGCAGUAUUUUGACUGUACAAAGGUAGCAUAAUAAUUAGUCUUUUAAUUGGAGGCUGGAAUGAAUGGUUGAAUGUAAUAUUGACUUUUUUAUUUGUAUUUGAAUUUGGUUAUUGAGUUAAAAAGCUUAACUAGUAAAAAGGGACGAGAAGACCCUAUAGAAUUUUAAAAAUUUGGAAGAAUUUUUUAGUUGGGGUGACAGAAAUUAACUUUCUUUUUAUUCAUUUUUAAAUGAUUCUAUGAUCCUAAAUAAAGAGAUAAAGAUUAAAUUACCUUAGGGAUAACAGCAUAAUUUUUUUUUUAAGAACAUAUUUAUAAAAUAGUUUAUGACCUCGAUGUUGAAUUAAAUAUUGUAUAAAUGUAGAAGUUUAUAUA
rnacentral:rRNA from 1 species